rnacentral:rRNA from 1 species
AUUGAACGCUGGCGGCAGGCCUAACACAUGCAAGUCGAGCGGAUGAAGGGAGCUUGCUCCUGGAUUCAGCGGCGGACGGGUGAGUAAUGCCUAGGAAUCUGCCUGGUAGUGGGGGAUAACGUCCGGAAACGGGCGCUAAUACCGCAUACGUCCUGAGGGAGAAAGUGGGGGAUCUUCGGACCUCACGCUAUCAGAUGAGCCUAGGUCGGAUUAGCUAGUUGGUGGGGUAAAGGCCUACCAAGGCGACGAUCCGUAACUGGUCUGAGAGGAUGAUCAGUCAAACUGGAACUGAGACAAGGUCCAGACUCCUACGGGAGGCAGAAGUGGGGAAUAUUGGACAAUGGGCGAAAGCCUGAUCCAGCCAUGCCGCGUGUGUGAAGAAGGUCUUCGGAUUGUAAAGCACUUUAAGUUGGGGGGAAGGGCAGUAAGUUAAUACCUUGCUGUUUUGACGUUACCAACAGAAUAAGCACCGGCUAACUUCGUG